rnacentral:tRNA from 1 species
GCUAUAGCUCAGCUGGGAGAGCGCCUGCCUUGCACGCAGGAGGUCUGCGGUUCGAUCCCGCAUAGC